UACGUAGGUGGCAAGCGUUGUCCGGAUUUACUGGGCGUAAAGCGCGCGCAGGCGGACUGAUCAGUCUGGGGUGAAAUCUCCCGGCUCAACUGGGAAGCGGUCCCUGGAUACUGUCAGUCUUGAGAGACCUAGAGGAGAGCGGAAUUCCCGGUGUGAGUGGUGGAAGUGCGAUAGAUAUCGGGAAGAACACCAGUGGCGAAAGCGGCUCUCU
rnacentral:rRNA from 1 species